GUUACCUGCCGCCAACUCAGAGACAGAGCAACAAAAAGACCAUGCUGACAUGAAUAUAAUACUUGGGGAACUUCGUAGUGUAUAAUGUAGAAUGAGAGUCACGAAGAACACAGACGCAAGCAACAGCACCAACAAAACGACAAAUGCUCUUGCAAUAACCCAGAAAACUUUAGCGAAAAAGUAAGAAUAUAACAUGGUCAGAAAACUGCAAUCGGCUGCUUAAAGGAAUGAGCAGCAAAUUAUAGAAACAAAUACUGCAACGUGAAACCGAAAAGAAUGAAAUCCAAGCCAUUUCAUAUAAUAGUCUGUGGAAGAAGCAAUGGUCCGGAAAAGUGACUGGCCCCCUGAAUAGACUAAAGUUAAUUUGAUGCGACUAAACGUGUCUCCAUAGCAAGAUUAAGGGAUACUAACGCAAACCAGGGAAUGUUUAAUGGAAAGCUUUGGAAUUGCCAAGGAGUUUCGAAGAAGUGUAUUUGAAGGGAAAAAUUACGAAGUGUGGAAAACAAUAAAAACAUCGAGACUGAGGAAACGGUGAAUUUUUAAUUGAAAACGCUACAAUUGAAAACUAUUCCGAUCAGGAUAAACUCGGAGAUUUGCAGCUAGUCACCCGCCUCUGAACUUAAACACUAACUUGUUAAAUAGUGGCUCCAAAGCUAAAAGUAAUGUGAAAGAAGAGGACAUGGAUAUGACAGAGAGGAAGUGAACUGUCAUCUGAAGUGGAGGAGAGAAGGCUCUGGAAAUCAGGAGAGUGUCAAUGUGCCUGGCUAACAGUGAAGAGAUGGUGGAGAGCUCACAGCUACCUGGCAACAAAAUUGACCCUCAACAACCAUAUGACAUUUACUUAUGUUGAUUUCAUUUCAACAAAGGAAUGGAGAUCAUUAAUGCCCAUAAUGCUAAAUUUACCUUGCUGUUACAGAAAUGUUGCCUGACCAUCUGAGCAUUUUCCAUCAAUUUCUGAUUUGCAGGCCAGAUUUUCCCAUUUCUUGGCAAAGUGUUGUUUUUAUGGUGUAUUAUUUGCCAUGGCCCAUGUUUACUUUUCUCACUCAGUCAUCUGCUCUUCAUCUCAUUAGUUACAUAACCUGCCUGUUUGAUGCCUGGUUCAUGCCUUCAUCAGCAGGGGUGAGGGAAGUGUUCACUGCUGCCAAGCUUUUUGUGAUGUUCAUGCUGCUAGUACCAUAUUUAAAUCCCAGCUCAACAGCUGCUGCAAGGCCAUAAACUGGUUUUAAACUGUGAUCUUCCAUCAUUAAAACUAAGGAGGUAGUACAAAAAGGAAAGCUGUCUCACCAUUUCUCUGAUAGAGACCUGACAUCCUCGUGGGUGCAUUGGCCAAAAGAAAGGGAGUGCUCUUUCUCCAGAUCACAAGAUCCAUGAACUAUAUGCAGCCAGCCUGAAUAGAGAUAGUAAAGCCAAUUCAAUACAGUCUUUACUGUAAAUAAAUGUUCAGCAGUGCUGAAAGUAGGUGAAUGACCUUCUACAAUCUGCAAGGGUUAGUACCACCAUUUUCAAUCUUUUACCUAACACUCACAGGGCUAACAUUAUUCAUUCUAACUAUCACAGCACACACCUCUCAUCAAGGCUUAUGGACUGCAACUCUCACGACGCAUGCACCAUGUCUGCCAUCCCCUCCCUCCUCUGAAAUUACUAACUCGUCCUUCCCUCUGCACUUCCUAUUCACUACAUGGGGGGACAUGACCACCUGUCCUGCCCCUGCAUCUCCACUGAUGCUUCUACCAUCCACUUCCAUCAUACUCAAUCUCUCCCUCCUUUUGUUUCACUGCAUGGAAAAAGUCUCUGACAACUGAACCAAAAGGCCGAGAACAGCAGCAGGGUGGCAGAUAUUAGGCUCCUCAACCAGUAUGAGGUAAAAUUGCAACAAGACUUCUAAAUCCAACCAACCAAGUGAGCCAUGUUGUUCAGUUCUGCAAUGCUUUCCCAUUAAUAUCACUCAGCUCAUGUAGGAAAUGCUUCAUGGUCUUGGCCAUUAAUAACUUUGUCAACAUGCAUGGAAAGGCACAGGAAUAGUAUACAGCUUUGUCAGAGGCAGUUGGUAAACUGAAUCAAAGGAUGGAGCACACUAUCUACCUUAUCUUUACUGUGUUGGCUCCAGCAAGCAUCUGGUUGUCUCAAAAGACAAGUUGGAGCACACUCAAUGCUUCCCCAGAGCACGGACUCUCAGAGAGAAAAAAAACAGUAAUGUUCAGAAACGAAUAUAUUGAUCACACUGUAUCUCCAUUUCAAAGUAUACAAAACAAGUCAGACAAAUAUACCUCAUUUGUCAGUUCUACUGGUUUUUUUCCUUCUAUACUUGCAUUCCAUCACUGUAACCAUUAGCAUUCAACCUCGCUCAGAGAGGCAGGAUGGUGCCAGAAGGCCCUAUUGGGAUGAGAAGACAUACAGAAGCUCCCUGUCAUGAUUCUCUAGGGUGUCUAGUCCCUCCAAAACCCCUGCCUCUGAUGCCUGCAGAAGUCCAAGUUGAGGAGGGUAAACCUACAUCUGGGCAGGAUUUCUCUAGCUCCUCUGGGCCCUUUUGACCCAAGCUCCCUGGGCUGACCAACCAAGGCUUCCUUGAAAAUAGGGUCAUGUGCAGAUUAGUUCCUUUCUACAUUUGUGAAUAAAUGUUCACUGACACUCUUGAAAUGUCUGCUCUAGUCUUUUUUGUAACUGUCAGAUCUGCUAACGUCGCAUUCAUUUGAUACAUGAGCAUGUUCUAUAGACAUCCCAGACAUGAAUGAAGUUGUAAUGGACAAACAUUGUUCAUCUCUUAAGCAACCAACUCCUUGACUGCAGAUAGCAUCAGGCGUUCAAGUUUUUGAGCUAUUAUACUGAUCGCUGAAGCCAAAGCACUGCAUUAAUAUUCAACAACAUCAAGCUGACAUGCAAUGAGCCAAGAUUGUGGUCGAGCCUGCCCUGCUUAGACUAUCAAUACUUAGACACCCAUUAUAAUUGAAAAUGUGAGUGCAUGUCCAUUUUCUUUUCCUGAUUUAAAAUAUCACAAUCAGCCGUGAUGGGAUUUAAACCCAUCGAGCACAUGAAACCAAAUCAACCUUGUAUCAAACUCUCCUUAUCCCAAAUGGUUAGCCUAUAUCUCUAAUUUAUUAGGCUAGUGACAUUACAACUACAUCACACAGCUCAUAUCAUUGUUGAGUUUGUAAUGUUCAUGGCAGCCAGAAGAAUGACUUCUCAAUUUAAUCCAAUUUGAUGGCAGAUGGGUGGUUUUACAGAAUGGGUGUAUGCAUGAUGGAUAUAAUUGACAGUAGCAGAAUCAAACAUGAAAAAAAUACCCUACACCUGAAGAGAAAAACAGUAACUUACUUCAUACAAUCUGCAUGUGGUGGCAGGUAAUCUGUCUCCAUAUUGCACAUUACGUUUGGUGCAAGGUUGAUUAGGUUUCAUGUCCUUUGGUGAAUGAGUUGAGGGCUCUGCCUGAGACUAGCAGUGAUUCCACACCCGCCUCUUUCACGUUCCCUUUUGUGUUAUGGUCCCUUCAUCCCAAUUACCUUUCAAACUCUCCCCAAUCCAUGCAGCCCCUAUAUUUUACUACUAAUUCUUUAAUUUAUCCUCUGAGCCAUGGCUUUGCAAUUUGCAGUGACCUUGUUAUCCAUUUAUGGACUUCAAAAUUUAGAUAGGGUGUUUUGGAUUUUGGCAAUCCCACCUUCCUUCAGAUCCUAUUCCCCUCCUAUGUAGUGUGAGGUUCCACCCUUCUGUCUAGAUGUGCUGACUUUCACCAUUGCCAUUCCCUUAAUGACCUAGUCCAAUGGUUGAAUGAAGGCUCAGAGAAGCAAGCAAUUUGCUGUGGCACAGGUAACCACUCUGACUUUCAAUUGUAAUUUGUGGUGUGUAGUUACUGAGGGGAGAAUGGAGAACUCCAUAGAAACGAGGUGAGAUUAGCUAUUAAAUUAAUAAAGAUGCAAAUAUAUGGAAAUAAGGUAUUUGCUGCUCACUGGAUAGGUUUAGAAGUUUCCAAUUAAACCUUCAAGGGGAAAUUGGAAUUUUUUCCUUGACAUUGGAUGUCUGACUUUGUCAUUUCACUGUAUUUUCUUUCAAUGUUCUCAUCAUUGCCUACAUUGCUGAAAGCCUGAAAAUAAUCUGCUCUACGUCAUGCUGUUUGGGUCUUAUAUUGCAUGGUGUAUCAGAGUAAUUUGGAUCUUAAGUUGCCAUCUAGUGGCUGAAAGAGAUGUUUUGUUGUACUUAGAGUUAUGACCUAGACUUUCAAAAAAAUUUAACAAUUAUACAAUCAAGAUAGUAAUUUUCAGUAAUAGAGCAACUUGAGAGAACAAGGGAUUAAACUCAUCCACGACUGCAUAUUAGAUCUAAAGAUCAGUAAGAAAUAAUAAUUGCAAAGUUUACUGUUUAACUAUGAGCUUUAGGGGCCAUUCCCAUACGUUAAUCACAUCAACAAUUCCUAUUGCAAAGCAUGUUAGCUGUUGCUAUAGGGCGUGGUAGCAGGAUGGUUGAAAUGGGUAAUGGUGAUGAAUGAAUGGGGAGGUUGUGAUUGGAGUGAAUAAUGGUGGUGAUUGGAGAUAAAGGCAGUUAUGGAUAACCUUCCAUCAUCUAUAUGAUAUAGUAAAAGUGCAUAUACUACUGUAGAAGAAGAUAAAUUAAACAAUUUGAUCAAUGCAAAGAGACAGAUAUUCCAGUAUUAAUCAUUCAUGAAGAUCAGGUUGACUUUUUUCGGGAACUCUAUCUCAAAAGUUUUCAUUGCUUAGAGGGUUAAACCUGGAAAAAACUAUAUAUUGUGUCAAGUGUUGUUCUUAGAAUGUUUUAUCAUAAACACCUCACAUCAUUUGUCAAAUUGUGGUAGCAUAUCAAAGCAUGAUUAAUGUCAAAGCUAGAACACAGGAAGAUGGUAGUAAUUGUUGAGGAUUAAUCAUGUUGGCCUGAGGGCAGUGCUUAGACCCAAACUUACUUCAUCGAUUAACUUCCUUGUUAAAAUAUAUAAACAUAUGAAUUAGGAGCAGAACUAGGCCACUCAGUGCUUUGAGCCUGCUUUGUCAUUCAGUAACAGCAUGGCUGACCUGGUGGUUCCACAUUUUUACCUACACCUGACAAUCUUUCUAAACAAUAAUCUAUUCAUCUCUACCUUAAAAAUAUUAAAACUUCUUCCAGAGACUAUCAGCUCUCUUUGAGAAAAGUCUCCUCAUCUCUCGCUUAAAUACAUGUAUCCUUAAUCUGAACAGUUUCUAGAUUCUCCCUCAAGAUGAAAUAUUCUUUUCCGCAGCCACUUUAUUAAGACUUGUUGAGGAUCUUAUAUGUUUCAAAGAAAUCACCUGUUACUCGUCAGCUGAUGUAAGUCUUGUCUGUCCAACCUUUCUUCAUAAGAAUCUGCUCAAUCAAGGUAAUACUCAAAUUAAUCUGUCCCUGAAUUGCUUCCAUCUGUCAUCAAACAUUACUCUGCAUUCGUAUAACCUCCAACUUAAUAUUAGUGUUCCCACAAAGCUGUUACUUCAAGCUAUCCAAAAUUCAUUAACAUUUUUAUAUUCGUGGCAAACGGUAUAUUCUAAUUAGAUACAUUUUUAGAUUGCUUUCAUAUAAGUCAAGAGCUUCUUCUUUCAUUUUAGUGCAGAUCAUCGUGUUCUUGAAAAACUAAAUAAAACAACUACUUAUAAAAUUAAAAUUUAAAAUUGUUAAUGUCAGUACUUUAUUGAUGUGUAAUUAUGACUGAAGUAAAUGUCAUACAAAGCUAGGAUGCAAAUUUAAUAACUCCUUCAGAAAAGCCAAACUCUGUUUUAGAUAAUAAAAGACUUCUUAUUUCAGUUUCUAGUAUUGCUGGUUUUCUCAUCAACAGAACCGCACAGCUAAUGCACAGGAUGUCAAAGGUUUAUGAAAAAUUUUCAUCAUGGAUAAAGUUUUUUAAUGAAAGUUCCAUAGGAAAAACACGAGAUACCACAUAAUUGUUGUUUUAUUGCCAACAGUCAUACAGUUUUUAAAAAAUAACAAAUACAAAUGUAAACAGUUUAUGAUAAAAAUGUUGCAAUUUAUUUGUAUUCAAAACAGCAGCCUCUGAGAUACGCACAACUAUUUGAUCAAAAGGCACGUUUUUGUAGCAGAGCUAGAGAUUCAGUGUUGCCUGGCAGAACUUGUAAAAUUAAUUCUCCUAAAUUCAGCAACUAUUUUGUUUUAAAAGUGUUGCACUGACCCUCACUGCACUGAAUAACGAUGAACUCUGAAAGAAGCAAAACACUAGAAUUUUAAGAGUUAAAUAAGAAGACAACAAUGCCAGAUGCUGGGCAUUGAUUUCAUGUUUGUGCUAAGCUUGAUCAUAAUUUUCAAUGAAGUAUAGUAUUUCAAAAUAGCCAAUACAUUUAUUGACUUCUACUACACUUAUCAAAGUGUCAAUGAUUGGUAGCGAUGGAUUUGGUACAGUAAUAUAGUGAGGAAAGCUGUCCCAACCAAUAACAACUGCUGGUUUACCAAUUGAUUUCAACAAAGAACUAAUCUAUUGCAGGCUUUGUGCGUGUUUUAUGUAAGCUUUCAAUAAGCUAAAUAGGACUUGCUGCUAAGCAAAUAUCUUGAAAAUUGUCUUGUAUGUUUAUUACAUCAAAAUGCUCUGGUACUUACAAUUUACAACAAUGAGAAAACUGUAACAUUCAUUCAAUUCAGAGAAUGAAAUAAUUAUACAAAUUCAAGAAUUGUUUUAAGUAACUUAAUUGUACCAUAUUGUGGUUGAUUCUGAUUGAUUUCAAUGUGCGCAAUAAGCAAUUUCUCUAAAUCCAACCACACAAUAAGCCAGAUAAAUCUGCUUAUCAAUAAAUGUUUAAUAUGCCAUUACUUUCAUCAGCUGUAUUUAAAAUGUACAGUGUUCAUUUCAUACCAAUAUCAAUUAUAUAUCCAUGUGCAAAAGCACUUUGUACUCAAGAGUUAAAAUGGUCUGCAAGUAAAUGA